UACAGAGGUCUCAAGCGUUGUUCGGAUUCAUUGGGCGUAAAGGGUGCGUAGGCGGCGCGGUAAGUCGGGUGUGAAAUCUCGGGGCUUAACUCCGAAACUGCAUUCGAUACUGGCGUGCUUGAGGACUGGAGAGGAGACUGGAAUUCAUGGUGUAGCAGUGAAAUGCGUAGAGAUCAUGAGGAACACCUGUGGCGAAGGCGGCCUUCUGGGCCUUACCUGACGCUGAGACGCGAAAGCGUGGGGAGCGAACAGG
rnacentral:rRNA from 1 species